AGUGGCGAACGGGUGAGUAACGCGUGAGCAACCUGACUCUUAGAGGGGGAUAACACUCGGAAACGAGUGCUAAUACCGCAUAAGACCACGACAUGGCAUCAUGACGAGGUCAAAGGAGCAAUCCGCUGAGAGAGGGGCUCGCGUCCCAUUAGAUAGAUGGCGGGGUAACGGCCCACCAUGUCAACGAUGGGUAGCCGAGCUGAGAGGCUGAUCGGCCACACUGGAACUGAGACACGGUCCAGACUCCUACGGGAGGCAGCAGUGGGGAAUAUUGGGCAAUGGGCGCAAGCCUGACCCAGCAACGCCGCGUGAGGGAAGAAGGCUUUCGGGUUGUAAACCUCUGUCCUUGGUGACGAAAAAAAUGACGGUAGCCAAGGAGGAAGCCCCGGCUAACUACGUGCCAGCAGCCGCGGUAAUACGUAGGGGGCGAGCGUUGUCCGGAAUUACUGGGCGUAAAGGGUGCGUAGGUGGCCUUUUAAGUUGGAUGUGAAAUACCCGGGCUUAACCUGGGGGGUGCAUCUAAUACUGGGAGGCUAGAGUGCAGGAGAGGAAAGCGGAAUUCCUAGUGUAGCGGUGAAAUGCGUAGAUAUUAGGAGGAACACCAGUGGCGAAGGCGGCUUUCUGGACUGUAACUGACACUGAGGCACGAAAGCGUGGGGAGCAAACAGGAUUAGAUACCCUGGUAGUCCACGCG
rnacentral:rRNA from 1 species